UACAAUAUUACUUUGUUAAUUGAAUCAUAUGAUUCACUUAUUACUAUUCCUACAAAGUUGAAUCAGCUCUUGAGCAGCAACAUCCAUCUCUUCAUCUUUUAUAGCUUUUAAAUUCUUGCUUAUAUCUCUUACUUUAGCCCUCAAAAUUUCCCCAAUUUCCCCCGUUAUGACACCUUUAAGAGUUUCCGCGAUUUCUCCUCUGUAAAUUUUUCCAUCAUCAUCUCUAACAAUCUCAACUGCGACUCCCAAUUCUACUAUCAACCUAGCAUUCAUUGGUUGAUCAAGUUGCAUAGGCAUGGCAACUAUAGGUACCCCAAAAUCUAUACUUUCCAUCGCUGAAUUCCAACCACAAUGACUUAUAAAUCCUCCCGUACUCGGAUGAUUUAGAAUUCUUG
rnacentral:misc_RNA from 1 species